rnacentral:rRNA from 1 species
UACGUAGGGCGCAAGCGUUGUCCGGAAUUAUUGGGCGUAAAGAGCUCGUAGGCGGCUCGGUAAGUCGGGUGUCAAAUCCUCAGGCUCAACCUGAGGCUUCACCCGAUACUGCUGUGGCUAGAGUCCGGUAGGGGAGCGUGGAAUUCCUGGUGUAGCGGUGAAAUGCGCAGAUAUCAGGAGGAACACCAGCGGCGAAGGCGGCGCUCUGGGCCGGAACUGACGCUGAGGAGCGAAAGCGUGGGUAGCAAACAGG